ensembl:lncRNA
AUAAAUAAUAACAAGAAGAAGAAGAAAAAGAAGAAGCACCUGAAAAAAAUGUGGGCGGGGCUAUUCAUUACCGGAGUUUUUGAAUAACUGGAAAAGAUUACAAACGUGUACGUCUUUACCUGAGUAACAUCGACAGAGUAACUCGCACUUUUUAAUUUAUUUAUUUAAUUAUUUGAGUCGAAGGAGGAAAUGCGAGAUUGGAUUUAACAUGGGAGCGCCAGCAGCAGCUGGGAUAAGUGAUGGAUGGAGCGAGUUUUACUGCGGUCCGGGAUUUUCCAAACAGGGGGCUGGAAAGGAAUUGCACUGGAGCACAGCAGGGGAAAACUCCAACAGCUAAAGUUGCUGUAAAAUGUUUUGAAUAGUUCAUAACAUUUUCAGUGGUCAUUGAAAACAAAGGCAAGCUCAAUUUCCCUUGAUGGAGGAAUUUGGAUAUACCACUUAACAAAAAAAAUCAAGAAGUGAAACUUCGAGUGGAAGUGAAAGCACAGGAGAAAAAGAAGACGCAGAAGUUAGAUCGUAACCUAAUGAUCCAGAAGAAACCCAUGUCUCAGCCUCUAAACCAGUGUUUUAGAAGUUCAUCCCUAAAUUCUCAGUAAGCUUGUUUUUCAACUCUUGUAUAUCAUUGGAUGUUCAUACCUGGGUGCAUAACAGCCACUAGAACAAGAUGUACAGUCCAACACGGAAUAGAACAGCAAGAGCUGAACUAACUUCAGUUCAGGCAGCACAAGAUGCCCUUCGACCAACACAAGAUGCCGUUCAGCCCCUUCGACCAACACAAGAUGCUGUUCAGCCCCCUCGGCCAACACAAGAUGCCGUACAGUUCUUUCGACCAACACAAGAUGCCGUACGGCCUCCGCGGCCAACACAAGAUGCCGUACAGUUCUUUCGACCAACACAAGAUGCCGUACAGUUCUUUCGACCAACACAAGAUGCCGUACAGUUCUUUCGACCAACACAAGAUGCCGUACGGCCCCCGCGGCCAACACAAGAUGCCGUACGGCCCCCGCGGCCAACACAAGAUGCCGUACGGCCCCCGCGGCCAACACAAGAUGCCGUACGGCCCCCUCGGCCAACACAAGAUGCCGUUCGGUUCCUUCGACCAACACAAGAUGCCGUUCGGUUCCUUCGACCAACACAAGAUCCCGUUCAGGCCCUUCGACCAACACAAGAUGCCGUUAGGGCUUUUCAGCCAAGACAAGAUGCCGUUCGGUUCCUUCGACCAACACAAGAUGGCCUUCAGGCCCUUCAAACAACACAAGAUGCCCUUCAGGCAAAACAAGAAGCCCUUCGGGCAACACAAGAUGCCCUUCAGGCGAAACAAGAUUCUCUUCGGGCAACACAAGAUGCCCUUCAGGCAAAAGAAGGUGCCCUUCGGGCAACACAACAUGCCCUUCAGGCAGCACAAGAUGCCCUUCGGGCAACAGAACAUGCCCUUCAGGCAACACAAGAUGCCCUUGGGUCAAGACUAGAUAUCCGUCAGCCUCUUCAGGCAACACGAGAUGGUCUUAAUGACACUUGUUCACCUUUUGUUGACGAAUCAGCAGCAGGUAGCAGUUCUGACUAUGAAGAAAUCAUGAAACGCAUUAAUAUGGAGUCUGAAACUGUGUUGGAUGAUGAUUAAAUAAACUUUAAUGAAAAUCUGCUCCACUCUCAGCUUAUCCCCUCUUUCACUUCUCCAGUAAUUUUAGUGGGCCCUGGUGGACACCCUGCCUCUUGCCUUGUUCUCACAGGAUGGUCUCACUGAGCAAAAUACCCUGUGCAAACAACUUCACACAAGUAAACAGCUCACCUGAUAUGCUGUUAAAGGUCUUUACGCCUGUUAUUAAUGAUGAUUUUUAAUGAUGAAACCUGCCUGUUCCAGUGCUCAUGUCCAGGUCUGUACCAGUGCAGUGUGACCGGCCUGGUGUUUUUAAUGCAGGGAGAAGGAGACGUGGUUUACAGGACUGUCCCUUGGAACAGGAGGCUGCUGACCCAACACCACAAGAAGCCUGCAGGACCCCUGUUUGACAUUAAAUGCCAGCAGCAGUCUGUGUGUCAGCUUCAUCUCCCACACUGAGGUCAUCUCCACAGGUGGAGGUCAGUUCUUGCAGGUCGCUCAUGUGAAUGACGAGGGCAUCGAGUUUAUUAACUCUCACCUCAGGAUGAAGACUCUCCUCCUGACCCAGUCCAAGCUUUGGUUCUGCUCUUCUACAAACCCCUUGUUGAUCCUGAUCUCAGAUCUUUCCUCAGUGUGUUGUUGCUUCCAAGGAACAUCGUGAUCCGUGAUUUACAGAAAACCAGGAGGAAACUAAAUGGAGAUGAGAGGUACAUAGACACUUCUCCUCACUGCAAACUGCAUCCAAAGCAGGUUUACACUCUGUCCACUGUUCCUGAGGAUGAUCUGAUUGAAGUUCAACCAAAAGAGAGAGAUUUUUAUGAUAAGUACCACGACAGUUACUUUACGACAUUCCAGGUGAUUUUAAGAAGAAUCCUCACAGAUGUUAACCUCAGUCUGAAAGAAAAGAGCAGCUCCACAUGUGUUUGGGAAAGAGAUGUCUUUUCUCCCCUACAGUGGGAACUUUGAAUCGUCCUCCUUCUGAGAGGCUGGCAAACACACGAAGCUGCUUCGUUGAAGGGAUAUCAGGACCUGUUCUCAGCAGCCUGAUCGACAAACUGCUGGAGAAAACAGUGAUAACUGAUGCAGAAAGGGAGGAAGCAGACAGGAUGAAAAACAAAAGGGAAAAAGCACGUUUUGUUAUUGACACUGUGAGGAGUAAAGGUGAAGCUGCCAGUUCAGAGUUAACUUUCUCCAUGAGAAUGAUCACAUCCUCUGUCAGCACCUCAGGUUAAACUGAAUGGAUAUUUUAUGGAUCAUAAUGUGUUUCUUUAAUGACGCCAAAGUCAUUUUUAUCUUUCUUUGACAACUGAAGUGAGUGAAGAAAGACAUUUUUUAAAUGUUAUUCUGAAACCAUAUAAUUUAAACUUUUCAUCAAAUUUUGCAGCUGCAUUUAUUUUUAUUCUGCACUUUGUCACAGACGUUAGAGUUCUUCUGUUAAGUUAUUGUGACUGUGUGAACCAAAUCUGACAGGUGAAUAUAAUUAUUUGAAAAAAGUUGAAUUACAUUCAAUUUUGAUUUGUUUCAAACAAGUUCUAUAAAAUUAAAAAUGUUUAUAAAUUGUUCUUUACUGCAGAUCUCACAUGUUAUUUAUGGAAGGAAGCACGAAGUUCUCUGUAUGUUUCUGAUUUAAAAAUCCACAAACGCACUUUUUAUAAAGACAGCUGAGUGGUGACAGUGAUUUCAACAUCCUAG